AGAGUUUGAUCCUGGCUCAGGACGAACGCUGGCGGCGUGCCUAAUACAUGCAAGUCGAGCGAGCUUGCCUAGAUGAUUUUAGUGCUUGCACUAAAUGAAACUAGAUACAAGCGAGCGGCGGACGGGUGAGUAACACGUGGGUAACCUGCCCAAGAGACUGGGAUAACACCUGGAAACAGAUGCUAAUACCGCGG
rnacentral:rRNA from 1 species